GGUUAAGUUGUUAAGGGCGCACGGUGGAUGCCUUGGCACUAGGAGCCGAUGAAGGACGGUACUAACACCGAUAUGCUUCGGGGAGCUGUAAGUAAGCUUUGAUCCGGAGAUUUCCGAA
rnacentral:rRNA from 1 species